GAGUUUGAUCGUGGCUCAGGACGAACGCUGGCGGCGUGCCUAAUACAUGCAAGUCGAGCGGAUCUUCAUUAGCUUGCUUUUGAAGAUCAGCGGCGGACGGGUGAGUAACACGUGGGCAACCUGCCUGUAAGACUGGGAUAACUUCGGGAAACCGGAGCUAAUACCGGAUAAUCCUUUUCCUCUCAUGAGGAAAAGCUGAAAGACGGUUUCGGCUGUCACUUACAGAUGGGCCCGCGGCGCAUUAGCUAGUUGGUGGGGUAACGGCUCACCAAGGCGACGAUGCGUAGCCGACCUGAGAGGGUGAUCGGCCACACUGGGACUGAGACACGGCCCAGACUCCUACGGGAGGCAGCAGUAGGGAAUCUUCCGCAAUGGACGAAAGUCUGACGGAGC
rnacentral:rRNA from 1 species